rnacentral:rRNA from 1 species
AACCCACGAUAUACCUUACCCGCCUUUGCCAAACCAGCCUAUAUACCUCCGUCGCCAGUCCGCCUGUCAACAGCCACCAAAGCGCGUACAACAGUUUUUAACUAACACGACAGGUCAAGGUGUAGCUAAUAGGCCGGCAAGUGGUGGGCUACAUUUUCUUUACAAGAAAACACCAACGGGCCAUGAAAACCGCACAAAAAGUCGGAUUUAGCAGUAAGGUGGGCCAGCAAGCCCAUCUGAAG